GACGAACGCUGGCGGCGUGCUUAACACAUGCAAGUCGAACGGUGAAGCGCCUUCCUUUUUGGUGGGUGUGGAUGAGUGGCGAACGGGUGAGUAACACGUGAGUAACCUGCCCCCUUCUUCUGGAUAACCGCAUGAAAGUGUGGCUAAUACGGGAUAUUCUGGGUCUGUCGCAUGAUGGGUCUGGGAAGGAUAUUGUUUCGGUGGGGGAUGGGCUCGCGGCCUAUCAGCUGGUUGGUGGGGUGAUGGCCUACCAAGGCGGUGACGGGUAGCCGGCCUGAGAGGGUGGACGGUCACACUGGGACUGAGACACGGCCCAGACUCCUACGGGAGGCAGCAGUGGGGAAUAUUGCACAAUGGGCGCAAGCCUGAUGCAGCGACGCCGCGUGAGGGAUGGAGGCCUUCGGGUUGUGAACCUCUUUCGCCAGUGAAGCAGGCCUGCCUCGUUUGUGGGUGGGUUGACGGUAGCUGGAUAAGAAGCGCCGGCUAACUACGUG
rnacentral:rRNA from 1 species